rnacentral:rRNA from 1 species
AGUCAUAUGCUUGUCUCAAAGAUUAAGCCAUGCAUGUCUCAGUACAAGCCACACUAAGGUGAAACCGCGAAAGGCUCAUUAAAUCAGUUAUGGUUCCUUAGAUCGUACCCACAUUUACUUGGAUAACUGUGGUAAUUCUAGAGCUAAUACAUGCAAACAGAGCUCCGACCGGAGACGGGAGGAGUGCUUUUAUUAGAUCAAAACCAAUCGGCGGCGGUGGCGUUCGCGUCGCCGUUCGCCGCUCAACCUGGUGACUCUGAAUAACUUUCCGCUGAUCGCACGGUCUCGCACCGGCGACGCAUCUUUCAAAUGUCUGCCUUAUCAACUGUCGAUGGUAGGUUCUGCGCCUACCAUGGUCGUAACGGGUAACGGGGAAUCAGGGUUCGAUUCCGGAGAGGGAGCCUGAGAAACGGCUACCACAUCCAAGGAAGGCAGCAGGCGCGCAAAUUACCCACUCCCGGCACGGGGAGGUAGUGACGAAAAAUAACGAUACGGGACUCAUCCGAGGCCCCGUAAUCGGAAUGAGUACACUUUAAAUCCUUUAACGAGGACCCAUUGGAGGGCAAGUCUGGUGCCCGCAGCCGCGGUAACUCCAGCUCCAAUAGCGUAU